UACGGGGGGGGCAAGCGUUGUUCGGAAUUACUGGGCGUAAAGGGCUCGUAGGCGGCCAACUAAGUCAGACGUGAAAUCCCCAGGCUCAACCUGGGAACUGCGUCUGAUACUGGAUGGCUUGGAUCCGGGAGAGGGAUGCAGAAUUCCAGGUGUAGCGGUGAAAUGCGUAGAUAUCUGGAGGAAUACCGGUGGCGAAGGCGGCAUCCUGGACCGGCAUUGACGCUGAGGAGCGAAAGCCAGGGGAGCAAACGGG
rnacentral:rRNA from 1 species